rnacentral:rRNA from 1 species
CAGUAGCCGCGGUAAUACGUAGGGGGCUAGCGUUAAUCGGAAUUACUGGGCGUAAAGCGUGCGCAGGCGGUUCGUUAAGACAGAUGUGAAAUCCCCGGGCUUAACCUGGGAACUGCAUUUGUGACUGACGGGCUAGAGUAUGGCAGAGGGGGGUAGAAUUCCACGUGUAGCAGUGAAAUGCGUAGAGAUGUGGAGGAAUACCGAUGGCGAAGGCAGCCCCCUGGGCCAAUACUGACGCUCAUGCACGAAAGCGUGGGGAGCAAACAGGAUUAGAUACCCCAGUAGUCCCUGUCUCUUAUAA